GUGCCAGCAGCCGCGGUAAUACGUAGGGGGCGAGCGUUGUCCGGAUUCACUGGGCGUAAAGGGCGCGUAGGCGGCCAGUUAAGUCAGCAGUAAAAUUCACAGGCUCAACCUGUGAAGGACUGUUGAAACUGGCUGGCUUGAGUGCAGGAGAGGGGAGUGGAAUUCCAGGUGUAGCGGUGGAAUGCGUAGAUAUCUGGAGGAACACCCGUGGCGAAGGCGGCUCCCUGGCCUGCUACUGACGCUGAGGCGCGAAAGCUGGGGGAGCGAACGGGAUUAGAUACCCCGGUAGUCC
rnacentral:rRNA from 1 species